rnacentral:lncRNA from 11 species
GUUCAGCAAUCGUAUAAUGUCCUUGUAGUUGCAUAGGAUCAAUAACUAAUCAAUCAGCAUUCUAUUUACAGCAUAGCAUAUUCAAACUGCUACUUGACCGUAGCUAGAGAGCCUGUCUUUUCUGUGCUCUCCCUGCAAGCCCAAAUUACCAACUGACAAAACCAGCCAUCUGCCAUCAAACUGAUACAUUCUUUGAGGCCUGGCUUGCCUCUGCAGAAGCAAGCAACUUUGCAAGGAUUUCUUUACACACACACACAUAGCAAUUUGGCGCAAUAGCUGGUCAUGUGUGUAAACGACUUGCAGUAUGCAACCAAUCAAAAUAAUAAUAAUAAUUUUCCAACAUUCUACUCUUGCAUUAUUUAGGAUCUGUCCAAAUGAAAGGACCUCCAUUUUCCCACAUUUCCCCCCAAAAGCACUUUUGGGUCUGACUGCAAAUCCUGCUCUCCCUAUCUGACCAAAUUGAUAUUUCCUUUUGUAGUACAGUCUGGACUCUACUUUAAUGUAGUUCAAAGCUAGUCUCAAACUCAGCAAGUAUGGACAACAAAUGACCCCCAAAAGCACAAAGGAAAGUCUUUUAUGCGCAUCAAUGCUUUGUGGUUUGUGUCAUCACAUCCUCAGACUGGUUCCUGCAUUUCCUACGUAAUUGUCGGCACAGCGGAAACGCUUUCUUCCAUACCGCUUUGAAACUGCAUUAAAUGGUCAGUGUGGGAAUGGAGCCUCUGCGUUGUAAUGACAGAUGUGGAGAGGUUCCGGAAUGAGUUUUUAUGGGCGUCCCCGUCUCUUUUCUAGCUGGAGAAACUGCAGAAAUCCUUGUAUGCGACAGACGAAGGCAAGAUGCCCGAGGUGCUUCUGGUGGAUAACUUCCGAGACCCUCAAAAUGUGAACCAGCGGGUCGUUUACUCUUCUUUUAUUACGACUCCUUCUGGAUAUUCUGCAGGUGAGAUUGUGGCCAUCAUUUUUGGGGUGCUCUUGGGCUGCCUGGGCGUCUUCCUGGCCGGUUGGAUCGUGGCGAAGAGAAUACGGUGAGACGCAGGCCAAGAUGGGAGGCCGAACCGUUGUCUUCCACCCAAUGGAGGUAUCCCUUGGCCUUGCAAGGCCCAAACGCUCUACCCCGCUGGGCUGUUGUGCUGCUGCUGCUGCUGCUGCUACUCCAAUCUGUAGUGCGCUCUAUAUGGAGGAGCCUAUUCUAAUCAUAACAAUAACAAUAAUGAUGAUGAUAAUAAU